AGGAUUAAUCUUGCCUGCCUCUUCCUACCUCCCAGGGCCUGGGUGCCAGUGAACAGAGGGAAGAACCUGGCCCCGGGAAGGCAGCCCAGAAGACCAGGAUGUCAGCCCCUAGAGAUGAUAAGCUAGGCUGGAGCAGAGAGGGGAAGCCUCUCUGAAGACCAGUCACGUAAGCCAGAGAUGGUCAGAGACUGGGAGGCUCUGGGCCUGUGGGAAGAGGCUGCAAGCCAGCCCAGGACUCUUGGCAGGUUUCCUGGCAGGCUGAGAAGCACGCCAUCUGGAAGGAGAGACAGCCCCCAGCCACCAGGGGCCUUGGGUACCGGCACAGGAGGCAGGGAAGAGACCAGCCUACUGCCAUGUGAAGGAGGGCACCCUUUCUCUGCAUGGAGAUGUCUGGAGAUGGUGCCUGGGAGCUAGGGAUGGUCAGAGAUUUGGGGAAAGAGAGGGCUUCUGCCACAUCCAGGAGGGUUAGCUCACAGCCCACUUUAAACUCCAGCCCAGAAACUCUCUGGAGUUGUCUCCGUCUUAGGCCCAGCCAGCAACACAGAUCUGCAUGGGGGAUUUUAUCAUGGGGUGUCAUCUUUCUCAAAGAGCUCAACUCCAGGGCCUUCUGGGUUUCUAGGACUAUUUAGAGAGGACCCCUUCCCUCCUCUGAACGUGUUUGUCCAGCCUCAAAACCUCCGCAUGGAGCUAAAGGCUGGGGCUUCCAUUCAGGGUUCCCCACCCCUCUCCUCUGCUCCAGCCCUCUCCUCCCUCCUGUCACCUGGCCUCUGCUUUCAUUCCCUUCCUCAGCCCAUUCUAAUCUGCAGGCUCUCCUAAGCCAAGUUUGGUUUCUCAUUCCAAGUAUACCCUAACUCCCUAAGCAACAGUAAAGAUAUGCCCAUCUGCUCUCAGUUACCUGUGCCGAGAUGGGAGGCAGUAGUCAG